UACGUAGGGUGCGAGCGUUGUCCGGAAUUAUUGGGCGUAAAGGGCUCGUAGGCGGUUUGUCGCGUCGGGAGUGAAAACCUCGGGCUUAACUCGGGGCUUGCUUUCGAUACGGGCAGACUGGAGGUAUGCAGGGGAGAACGGAAUUCCUGGUGUAGCGGUGAAAUGCGCAGAUAUCAGGAGGAACACCGGUGGCGAAGGCGGCUCACUGGUCCGGUUCUGACGCUGAGGCGCGAAAGCGUGGGGAGCAAACAGG
rnacentral:rRNA from 1 species